rnacentral:rRNA from 1 species
UGCAAGUCGAACGAUGAAGCUGGAGCUUGCUCUGGUGGAUUAGUGGCGAACGGGUGAGUAACACGUGAGUAACCUGCCCUGGACUCUGGGAUAAGCGUUGGAAACGACGUCUAAUACCGGAUAGGACCUCGGAUCGCAUGAUCUGGGGUGGAAAGUUUUUCGGUCUGGGAUGGACUCGCGGCCUAUCAGCUUGUUGGUGAGGUAAUGGCUCACCAAGGCGUCGACGGGUAGCCGGCCUGAGAGGGUGACCGGCCACACUGGGACUGAGACACGGCCCAGACUCCUACGGGAGGCAGCAGUGGGGAAUAUUGCACAAUGGGCGCAAGCCUGAUGCAGCAACGCCGCGUGCGGGAUGACGGCCUUCGGGUUGUAAACCGCUUUUAGUAAGGAAGAAGGGGCUUCGGCCUUGACGGUACUUGCAGAAAAAGGACCGGCUAACUACGUGCCAGCAGCCGCGGUAAUACGUAGGGUCCGAGCGUUGUCCGGAAUUAUUGGGCGUAAAGAGCUCGUAGGCGGUUUGUCGCGUCUGCUGUGAAAACUAGAGGCUCAACCUCUAGCCUGCAGUGGGUACGGGCAGACUUGAGUGCGGUAGGGGAGAAUGGAAUUCCUGGUGUAGCGGUGGAAUGCGCAGAUAUCAGGAGGAACACCGAUGGCGAAGGCAGUUCUCUGGGCCGUAACUGACGCUGAGGAGCGAAAGCGUGGGGAGCGAACAGGAUUAGAUACCCUGGUAGUCCACGCCGUAAACGUUGGGCGCUAGAUGUGGGGACCUUUCCACGGUUUCCGUGUCGUAGCUAACGCAUUAAGCGCCCCGCCUGGGGAGUACGGCCGCAAGGCUAAAACUCAAAGGAAUUGACGGGGGCCCGCACAAGCGGCGGAGCAUGCGGAUUAAUUCGAUGCAACGCGAAGAACCUUACCAAGGCUUGACAUACACGAGAACGGGCCAGAAAUGGUCAACUCUUUGGACACUCGUGAACAGGUGGUGCAUGG